rnacentral:rRNA from 1 species
UACGAAGGGUGCAAGCGUUAUUCGGAUUUAUUGGGCGUAAAGGGUUCGUAGGCGGGAUUAUAAGUCAAGUGUGAAAUCCCCAAGCUUAACUUGGGACGUGCAUUUGAAACUGUGAUUCUUGAGUCAUUGAGAGGGUGGUGGAAUUGUUGGUGUAGGAGUGACAUCCGUAGAGAUCAACAGGAACAUCAGAGGCGAAAGCGGCCACCUGGCAAUGUACUGACGCUGAGGAACGGAAAGCGUGGGGAGCAAACAGG